UGCAAGUCGAGCGAAUGGAUUGAGAGCUUGCUCUCAAGAAGUUAGCGGCGGACGGGUGAGUAACACGUGGGUAACCUGCCCAUAAGACUGGGAUAACUCCGGGAAACCGGGGCUAAUACCGGAUAACAUUUUGAACUGCAUGGUUCGAAAUUGAAAGGCGGCUUCGGCUGUCACUUAUGGAUGGACCCGCGUCGCAUUAGCUAGUUGGUGAGGUAACGGCUCACCAAGGCAACGAUGCGUAGCCGACCUGAGAGGGUGAUCGGCCACACUGGGACUGAGACACGGCCCAGACUCCUACGGGAGGCAGCAGUAGGGAAUCUUCCGCAAUGGACGAAAGUCUGACGGAGCAACGCCGCGUGAGUGAUGAAGGCUUUCGGGUCGUAAAACUCUGUUGUUAGGGAAGAACAAGUGCUAGUUGAAUAAGCUGGCACCUUGACGGUACCUAACCAGAAAGCCACGGCUAACUACGUGCCAGCAGCCGCGGUAAUACGUAGGUGGCAAGCGUUAUCCGGAAUUAUUGGGCGUAAAGCGCGCGCAGGUGGUUUCUUAAGUCUGAUGUGAAAGCCCACGGCUCAACCGUGGAGGGUCAUUGGAAACUGGGAGACUUGAGUGCAGAAGAGGAAAGUGGAAUUCCAUGUGUAGCGGUGAAAUGCGUAGAGAUAUGGAGGAACACCAGUGGCGAAGGCGACUUUCUGGUCUGUAACUGACACUGAGGCGCGAAAGCGUGGGGA
rnacentral:rRNA from 1 species